rnacentral:tRNA from 1 species
GCGGAUGUGGCGGAAUUGGUAUACGCGCACGUUUGAGGGGCGUGUGGGCAACCUUGCGAGUUCGAGUCUCGCCAUCCGCA